AAUUCUCAACUUCAGAACAUUAUUGUUCCUUGAAGCUUGGACUUUGGAGGCUUUGCCGGCCAGAAAUAUGGUCAGCUCCUCUUAAAUGCAUUAGCAGAACCUUCUUGCAAAAAGGGAACUGGCUUCAGUUUGAUAAAUCCUAUCUAUGCUGUUGCCAAUUAACCUUCUGUGUUCAGCUUCUAAUGGUCCUUUUGGACUGUCUCUAUUGAGGCAUACACUUUUAA
rnacentral:misc_RNA from 2 species